GACGAACGCUGGCGGCGUGCCUAAUACAUGCAAGUCGAACGAGAGCAACCGGUGCUUGCACUGGUCAAUCUAGUGGCGAACGGGUGAGUAACACGUGGGUAACCUGCCCAUCAGAGGGGGAUAACAUCCGGAAACGGAUGCUAAAACCGCAUAGGUCUUCGAACCGCAUGGUUUGAAGAGGAAAAGAGGCGCAAGCUUCUGCUGAUGGAUGGACCCGCGGUGCAUUAGCUAGUUGGUGAGGUAACGGCUCACCAAGGCCGUGAUGCAUAGCCGACCUGAGAGGGUGAUUGGCCACAUUUGGACUUAGACACGGCCCAAACUCCUAAGGGAGGCAGCAGUAGGGAAUCUUCCGCAAUGGACGCAAGUCUGACGGAGCAACGCCGCGUGAGUGAAGAAGGUUUUCGGAUCGGAAAACUCUGGUGUUAGAGAAGAACAAGUGCUAGAGUAACUGGUAGCGCCUUGACGGUAUCUAACCAGAAAGCCACGGCUAACUACGUG
rnacentral:rRNA from 1 species